AGGCAGAAGCCGAACCGGCCAGGUCACAUCAAGCCAAGGCCAGGCUGCCCCACCCUUACCAUGGUGCCGGGUCCCUGUUGCGGUGAUGGCGCCGGGCGCUACUGCCUUACGGAGCGGGGUCUGACUGACGCUACUAGCACAGCUCGGAGAGUGCGGGCUGGGAUGAAGAGAGGAACCAGGCAGGGGGUUGGAAGUAGAGGGGGGGGAGAGGAAAGGCCGGUCACAUGGGCGCUGUCUCCUCUCACCACGUGCUGUAGGCCCUGCCCAGUCCUGCAGAGCAAAAAUGAAGAGUGGGGAGAAGGAUCACCCUCCUGUUCAUAGCAAAUGAUCCCUUUCGACUCGAAAACUUCCCUGGGGGAUUGGGGGACUUCGUGAGGGAAAAUUAGACCCACCUACCAUCAAGUUUUGUCUCAGUAUGGCAAAAGGGCUUGUCCUAGGAUUGCGCCCCACCCACCAAAAACCCUUCGUGGGUUACCGUGCCCUCACUUCCCCACUGGACUUUAUUUCCCUCCGGAAAGCGAGAACACGAGAUCUGAUGCGGUACUUUCCUUUGCCACGCAGCCCCCUCUUACUUGUUUGAUCGCCUCAGCCAAUGACUGAGCAGCGGAACAAGCGACGACGAGGAGCACCUGCCGAGGGGCGCGCGGCAGCUGGGAAGCGCAGCGGCCAAGUCUUCCGCGUUUGUUGCCCGCAGAGAGAAGGCGAGCGAAGGAUACACCUUACAGCCACCUCAGCUAUUCAGUUUUGCCUCCUCUCGACAGUUUGGCUUUGGUCAGUUUUUCACUCUACGCUGCAACCAAGCGGACGCCGCGGCUGCUUUCUCCUUUGCUCCGCGGCCAUCCGAGCAAUUGGCCGAGAGAGAGCAGCAGAGGUGGUGGUUGCAAAGAGAGGAGUAGCAGCUGCUGAGCUCUGGAUGGUAUAGCUGCCCACCGAGGCAGCUAAAGUGAGCGGAGACCGUGGAUGCUCCUUGCAGGUGCCUCCAGCUCCCUUGCUCAACAGGCAGUUCAGCAGCGGAGACCAGACGGCUGUAGUAAAUGAAGAGAAAUAAAGGAGAGAAGCAGAGAAAAACCCAGGAAUCAAACAGUAAAGAGUCCUCAAUGAAGUCUCGAGUAGAAACAAGAGUCAGAAGCUUCCCACAAAGGGCAUGAAGAAUCUUCAUCUUGUCUCCUAAUGAAUGUAACAUAAAGAGGGAUGCUUCAUUUCAGAAGUCAGAGAAUAAUCAUUUCAAAUGUCAAUUGGCCUCAUCAAUAAGGCAAAGUAUCUCUCCUUUAUCUAGAAGUGACAUUUGGCUCAUUAAGUCAUACAAAGAUUGACAGGUUAUAAGCCUAAAGUGGGGAGGAUGGGAAUCUAUGUAUGUGGAUGAUUAUACCAUUUCAGACUUUAGCCAACUUCUUUAUGGUAGAUUGUUUACAUAGUCUUCAAGAUGUUGUUUAAAUAUGUGUGUAUUACCUUGUCAAAGUCUACAUAUAUAUCUGAUCCAAAGAAUCAUGCAAAUGUUCCAUGUACCAAGAAGUUUGUGUUUGUUGAGUAUGAAUCAACCCACCCCAUGUUAUGUGGCAAAUCUGAAACAUUUAAAAGAGAGGACAUUCAAAAGAAGUUUGUGAUGAAGCAUGGGGGAAUCUGCUGAUCAAACACACAAGAGCAACUAAAAAAUACCUCUGUGCACCCUAAACACUGAUAGCUGUUUUGAUCCUGGCCACUGAUUAUUAGAAAGUAUGAGACGUCAAGCUCAUACUGAAUAUUGAGAGAGAGAGAGAGAGAGAGAGAGAGAGAGAGAGAGAGAGAGAGAGAGAGAGAGAGAGAGAGAGAGAGAGUUCUACAAGAUAUGAAGUGCAAUCCUAUGCACGUCUACUCGGAAAUAAGCCCCCUGCCUUCAAUGGGGCUUGCUCCCAGGUAAAAAUGUAUACGAUUGCUGCCUAAAUCACUUACUUAACCUUCAAUCUUUAAUUAUAAAUUAAUACCCAAUUCUGUCCUCACUGUUCUUAUAAAGCUAUGCCCUGUCUAACUUUGAUGUAACCCUUCUGGGUAUUAUAUGUAGUACCUACACAACUUCUAGGGCAAGUAUGUUAAACUAUUAGUGAUUAUGCUUCAAAAAAAGGUUUUUCUUGCUUGAAAAUCUGUGCCAUGUAGCUUGACAAAUUAAUUUGGUUCUAUUACCCGGUGACAAAUCAUACACUGAAGUACACGAGAGUUUCUUCAGCAACCCAGGAUUACUCAGUCUUAGCUCCAUGCAAGCAUCGUCUGUAGCAUCAAAUCCUCCUCGCUUCUGGUAACGAUAUUUAGCAUUGGCUGAUGUUACAUCUGCACCUGAUGCUAGGAUAUGAAGUCUGAGAAUCUCAGAAAGAGUGCAGCUAUCAAGAUCCAAGUUUUUCAAAUUGCAACCUACAGUUAACAAUAGAAGUGAGAUUAGACUAUUUGGCUACUAAGAGUAUUUAGCAAAGAAUGUGAAUUAUACUUUUUUGUAAAAUAUAGCAAAACAUAACAAAAAAGUGAAACCCACACAUACCCUGAUGUAACUGGGGCCAUGCAGCUGCCAAAGAUGCAACUGCAGAUAGUGCAGAUUUUGUGGGGUCUGCAUCUUCAUCCAAAGCCUCUGUUAAAUCUUUAAGGAAAUAAAGACUUUAUUCUAGUGUAAAUUAACACUUGCAUUUCAGAGGCGAUGCAAGCAAGUCUUUUUUAAGCAAUGCAAAGACAACAUAUAAACUCAAUAUUUUUUAAGUUGCAACGCAACAAAUACAUACUACCUAAAGCCAGAAAGCAUGCAACACUCACUAAGAGCUUUGCGCAUUGCACACCACUUGACUACAAGAGCAUAAGCACACACAUGCAAAGAAAGAUAAACCCAAGAAAUGCUCUUAUAGAAAAGGUUUAAUGCAAGCAAUCAAAUAGCAUCCUAUUACUACAUUCCUUAUAGUUAAUCACCUCAUUAUGAUUAUUAUGUAGUGAAAGACCUAUAGAAACAAACACGAUGCCAGCAGCCAGUCAGUGCUGAUCUGCCAUAGUACACAAGAGAUUCCAAAUUCUGGACAGUUGAUCAGUGACUGAUGCACACCAAUAAGCCAGCAAUAAAGCAGGUUCAGGAAGUUUAUAGGAAGCAGCAUCACCAUUAUUCAGAGAAAGAAAACACAGACAUUUCCACAUAUCACACUUUGCCACUGAAGGUAGACCAGCAAGUACUCCUCCUUAACAGUGAGGAACAACAAAAGUAAGACCUCUGCUUGAGAAGUAGAUUCCUUAUUUACUGAAGGAUUUAUUCUUUGAAUUUUUCCAGGCUGAGGUCCUCAAACAUCCCUUCUUCAGGAUGACUGUCUAGAGAGAAAUAUUAAUCUCCACAAAGCAGGACUGAACUAUCAUUUACUGAACACACGUCUCAAUUCACAAAAGUUAACAUGUUUUCUCAUUAACAGCUCCUACAUAAGAACCUUAAUGCUUUUAUUCAUGGUAGUGCAGCCUAACCAAACUAUAUGAACUAUAACAUAGACUUAUGGACAUGCCUAUACUACAAUCAGGAGUUUGGAAUAUCUCAGUCAAAACUAUGGAUGAUUCAAACAAAAACCUGACUUUACAGUUAAGCAAAUGAGUGUUCCUUCUAUAAUCUUACAGCAGGAGGUUUUCAGAGUAUUAAAUAAUUUAUCUUUGAGAGGGAAGGAGAGAGACAGACACACCCUAAUGAUGUCAAUAGGUGCUAGGAACAGUCUACAUACAGCUAACAUACUCCAAGCAACAGUAACUGCCCUGUGUGCGAGUCCAAUGAAUCUCAUAUCCAACUAUGACAGCUGGUUGAGUGUUGAAAACACAGUUCCCAUCCACAACUGAUUUGCAAGGAAGGAGAAGUCAUUUAGAUUAUCUCUCAACUAAUGACUACACAUUCUGUGCACAGUAAAGCAAACAUAUGCUGCUUUACUUUCAACCAAAAAACCCUAAAAACCAUACUUCCCUAAAUGAUGCAACAGAACAAAAUUGACAAAAUUUUCAAUUGAUGCAAGUAACUCUCCCAUGCACAUCAUAGCAAAAUAUAUCUCUUUGAUGAGAUCCACCCCAAAUCCCUUGCUGCGCUAUACUGCAAUUGUUAUUGCAUUGGUUCCAAAGAAGAGAUAUACCUUUUUUUUCAGUUAGAGAAAUGUGAGUUACAGUUACAGAUGUGAGAAAGCUAUGACCCUCCAGAUGUUGUGGAACUACAACUCUCAACAGCCCCAGCAAGCAUGGCCAAUGGCCAGGGAUUAUGGGAGUUGUAGUUCAGCAGUACCUUGCAGGCAAAAGGCAACUCACACCUGAGUUGGGGCAAGUUAUUUGUUCUGUGAUCCCCUCGUCCCCCCUCCACACAUAAGUAAACAAAUGAAAAAAACCAACGACUGAGCUACAGCAGAUCUUGGGAAGAAUAUUCAAAUACUGCAAUAUGCAGUAAUGCAACGUUAUUUCUGUUUCAUUUGUUAAGAAUGACAUAUUCUGGGGUUUAAAAACAAUGCUAUUCAAAAUUACUAUUAUGUUAUCCGUGUAAUGAUACCAGUGAAAAAUACCACCAACACCAUCUCAGGAAUUUGACAUCAAAUAUCCUAAGAGCUGCUUCCUUGCUAUUUGUAAUGUUUUCCUAAAGGCUAGAAUCCUUAUGAAGAACUUAGACCUUAACAAUUCCAUGUAGACUACCAUGUAAGACACAGUUCAGCAUUCACAAUGCAGCCACAUAACAGUGGCAUGAAGAUGAAAAUAUGUGGUUUGCUUUGUUAGCAAUUUAACCAAGAGUCAGGUUUGUGCAUCAAACCACAUUGCCAAAACUACACUAGGCAUUAUUCCUCUAAAAACUAGUUACAAUGUAUGUCUCUAGAUUUAGAAGUGUGCCCUCUGGCAAAAUAAUUAAGUUAACCAAGAAGUGUGCUAUUAGCAUACAAAGCUGGACCAGGUAUUCCAGCAUAUGGAUAACAAUACUACUUGCCACUGAAGGUAGGAAUAGUAAAACUCUGUGCUUUAUGAUGACCGUUUAAUAUUUAACUGAACAAGAAAAAAUCUUAUAGCACUUUCAAAGAUUAACAAAUUUAUC